rnacentral:lncRNA from 1 species
AUGGCGCAUGCUCACUUCCCAAGGCUAAGGAAGGCUCUGUGCAUGCGGGCAGCCCACCCUAAGGGAAGAAUCACGGGAAAGAGAUGGGGAACUGAGACAUGAAGAAGUUAACUUACCUAAGAUCAGAGAUUGAGUCAAGGACAGAACAGGACCAUGUCAUCAAAUUUAGAGAAACUUGAACUAUGCAGAAAAGAGAUGGGAUUCCUCUGUGGCUGUGCUGCUCACUCAAGGGAGUCUGAACCAUUUUGACCAGGAAAAGCCAAAAGGAAAGGCCUCUGCCAAGGUCAGACCACACAUUGCCUGAAGUCAUUGUUCUCCAUUCCAGCCCCAAGAACUCUGCGAGAUCGAUGAAAGCAUACAUUGAGAAAUAAAAGUCAUGAGAAAAUUUUACAAAUUA